AUUGAACGCUGGCGGCAUGCCUUACACAUGCAAGUCGAACGGUAACAGGUCUUCGGAUGCUGACGAGUGGCGAACGGGUGAGUAAUACAUCGGAACGUGCCUAGUAGUGGGGGAUAACUACUCGAAAGAGUGGCUAAUACCGCAUGAGAUCUACGGAUGAAAGCAGGGGAUCGCAAGCCCUUGUGCUACUAGAGCGGCCGAUGGCAGAUUAGGUAGUUGGUGGGAUAAAAGCUUACCAAGCCGACGAUCUGUAGCUGGUCUGAGAGGACGAUCAGCCACACUGGGACUGAGACACGGCCCAGACUCCUACGGGAGGCAGCAGUGGGGAAUUUUGGACAAUGGGCGAAAGCCUGAUCCAGCAAUGCCGCGUGCAGGAUGAAGGCCUUCGGGUUGUAAACUGCUUUUGUACGGAACGAAAAGCUCUGGGUUAAUACCCUGGGGUCAUGACGGUACCGUAAGAAUAAGCACCGGCUAACUACGUGCCAGCCGCCGCUGUAACAC
rnacentral:rRNA from 1 species